GACGAACGCUGGCGGCGUGCUUAACACAUGCAAGUCGAACGAGUGGCGAACGGGUGAGUAACACGUGGGUGACCUGCCCUGCACUUCGGGAUAAGCCUGGGAAACUGGGUCUAAUACCGGAUAGUGUGGGAUGGGCCCGCGGCCUAUCAGCUUGUUGGUGGGGUAAUGGCUACCAAGGCGCGACGGGUAGCCGGCCUGAGAGGGUGGACGGCCACAGUGGGACUGAGACACGGCCCAGACUCCUACGGGAGGCAGCAGUGGGGAAUAUUGCACAAUGGGCGGAAGCCUGAUGCAGCGACGCCGCGUGGGGGAUGACGGCCUUCGGGUUGUAAAGCACUUUCAGCGGGGAGGCGUUACCCGCAGAAGAAGCACCGGCUAACUCCGUGCCAGCCGCCGCGGUAAUUC
rnacentral:rRNA from 1 species